GCGACCCCAGGUCAGGCGGGGCUACCCGCUGAGUUUAAGCAUAUCAAUAAGCGGAGGAAAAGAAACUUACA
rnacentral:rRNA from 2 species